AGGGGAGAUUAUGUUGGCAUCAGACUACGAGAAAAAGGAUUUGAUCCAAGAGGACAAAGGCAGUCCACCUUUCUAGAUGACACGGUCCAUUACAACUUAGCCCUCAGUGUUGCUUUGAUGUGAUUACGUGACUCAGAUGCUCAGACUACACUGACAGGAGAGAAAAUGCAUCAAGUACCGGACACCAACAGCACAUGAAAAACAAGGCCCUCGUUCAGCAAGGAGAGCUGAAAAGGACGGCAAGCAACUGGAUACACUGACCAGAGGAAAGCAACAGGCUGAC